rnacentral:rRNA from 1 species
CCUACGGGAGACAGCAGUGAGGAAUAUUGGUCAAUGGACGCAAGUCUGAACCAGCCAUGCCGCGUGCAGGAAGACGGCUCUAUGAGUUGUAAACUGCUUUUGUACGAGGGUAAACGCAGAUACGCGUAUCUGUCUGAAAGUAUCGUACGAAUAAGGCUCGGCUAACUCCGUGCCAGUAGCCGCGGUAAUACGGAGGAUUCAAGCGUUAUCCGGAUUUAUUGGGUUUAAAGGGUGCGUAGGCGGUCGGAUAAGUUAGAGGUGAAAUCCCGAGGCUCAACUUCGGAAUUGACUGUGAUACUGUUCGGCUAGAGAGUAGUUGCGGUAGGCGGAAUGUAUGGUGUAGCGGUGAAAUGCUUAGAGAUCAUACAGAACACCGAUUGCGAAGGCAGCUUACCAAGCUACUUCUGACGUUGAGGCACGAAAGCGUGGGGAGCAAACAGGAUUAGAUACCCUAGUAGUC